rnacentral:rRNA from 1 species
UACAGAGGCCUCGAGCGUUAGGCGGAAUCACUGGGCUUAAAGCGUGUGUAGGUGGAUGCCUAAGUACCUUGUGAAAUCCCACGGCUUAACCGUGGAACUGCUGGGUAUACUGGGCGUCUUGAGCCACUCAGGGGCUACCGGAACAAGCGGUGGAGCGGUGAAAUGCGUAGAUAUCGCUUGGAACGCCAAUGGUGAAAACAGGUAGCUGGGGGUGUGCUGGACGCUGAGACACGAAAGCCAGGGGAGCAAACGGG